rnacentral:rRNA from 1 species
GCAAGUCGAACGGUAACAGAGAGUAGCUUGCUACUUUGCUGACGAGUGGCGGACGGGUGAGUAAUGCUUGGGAAUAUGCCUUAUGGUGGGGGACAACAGUUGGAAACGACUGCUAAUACCGCAUAAUGUCUACGGACCAAAGUGGGGGACCUUCGGGCCUCACGCCAAAAGAUUAGCCCAAGUGGGAUUAGCUAGUUGGUAAGGUAAUGGCUUACCAAGGCAACGAUCCCUAGCUGGUUUGAGAGGAUGAUC